rnacentral:rRNA from 1 species
GAUGAACGCUGGCGGCGUGCCUAAUACAUGCAAGUCGAGCGAACAGACGAGGAUCUUGCUCCUCUGACGUUAGCGGCGGACGGGUGAGUAACACGUGGCUAACCUACCUAUAAGACUGGGAUAACUUCGGGAAACCGGAGCUAAUACCGGAUAAUAUAUUGAACCGCAUGGUUCAAUAGUGAAAGACGGUUUUGCUGUCACUUAUAGAUGGAUCCGCGCCGCAUUAGCUAGUUGGUAAGGUAACGGCUUACCAAGGCAACGAUGCGUAGCCGACCUGAGAGGGUGAUCGGCCACACUGGAACUGAGACACGGUCCAGGCUCCUACGGGAGGCAGCAGUAGGGAAUCUUCCGCAAUGGGCGAAAGCUUGACGGAGCAACGCCGCGUGAGUGAUGAAGGUCUUCGGAUCGUAAAACUCUGUUAUUAGGGAAGACCAAAUGUGUAAGUAACUAUGCACGGCUUGACGGUACCUAAUCAGAAAGCCACGGCUAACUACGUG